CAAUAGCGUAUAUUAAAGUUGUUGCGGUUAAAAAGCUCGUAGUUGGAUUUCUGCUGAGAACGACCGGUCCGCCCUUUGGGUGUGUAUCUGGCUCCUUCUUGGCAUCUUCUUGGUGAACGUUGCUGCACUUGACUGUGUGGAGCGCUACCCAGGACUUUUACUUUGAGGAAAUUAGAGUGUUUCAAGCAGGCAUACGCCUUGAAUACAUUAGCAUGGAAUAAUAAGAUAGGACCUCGGUUCUAUUUUGUUGGUUUCUAGAGCUGAGGUAAUGAUUAAUAGGGAUAGUUGGGGGCAUUCGUAUUUAACUGUCAGAGGUGAAAUUCUUGGAUUUGUUAAAGACGGACUACUGCGAAAACAUUUGCCAAGGAUGUUUUCAUUGA
rnacentral:rRNA from 1 species